UGGGGAAUAUUGGACAAUGGGCGCAAGCCUGAUCCAGCCAUGCCGCGUGAGUGAUGAAGGCCCUAGGGUUGUAAAGCUCUUUCACCGGUGAAGAUAAUGACGGUAACCGGAGAAGAAGCCCCGGCUAACUUCGUGCCAGCAGCCGCGGUAAUACGAAGGGGGCUAGCGUUGUUCGGAUUUACUGGGCGUAAAGCGCACGUAGGCGGACUUUUAAGUCAGGGGUGAAAUCCCGGGGCUCAACCCCGGAACUGCCUUUGAUACUGGAAGUCUUGAGUAUGGUAGAGGUGAGUGGAAUUCCGAGUGUAGAGGUGAAAUUCGUAGAUAUUCGGAGGAACACCAGUGGCGAAGGCGGCUCACUGGACCAUUACUGACGCUGAGGUGCGGAAGCGUGGGGAGCAAACAGG
rnacentral:rRNA from 1 species